CCUUCGAUAGCUCAGUUGGUAGAGCGGUGGACUGUAGAGGAAUCACUGAUAUCCAUAGGUCGCUGGUUCAAAUCCGGCUCGAAGGA
rnacentral:tRNA from 1 species